rfam:Oryza glaberrima chromosome 1 Oglab01_0227_33, whole genome shotgun sequence.
AAAAAGACAAACCCUAGAUUUCCGUGUCCAACUUUGACUGUCCGUCUUAUAUGAAAUUUUUUUAUAAUUCGUAUUUUCAUUGUUGUUAGAUGAUAAAACAUGAUUAAUAUUUUAUACGUGACUUGUCUUUUUAAUUUUUAUAUAAUUUUUUCAAAUAAGACGGACGGUUAAACGUUGGACACGGAAACCAGAGUUUGUAUUUUUU